rnacentral:rRNA from 1 species
UCAGGAUGAACGCUAGCGGGAGGCCUAACACAUGCAAGCCGAGCGGUAGGUUUCCUUCGGGAAACUGAGAGCGGCGCACGGGUGCGGAACACGUGUGCAACCUGCCUUUAUCAGGGGGAUAGCCUUUCGAAAGGAAGAUUAAUACCCCAUAAUAUAUCAGAUGGCAUCAUUUGAUAUUGAAAACUACGGUGGAUAAAGAUGGGCACGCGCAGGAUUAGAUAGUUGGUAGGGUAACGGCCUACCAAGUCAACGAUCCUUAGGGGGCCUGAGAGGGUGAUCCCCCACACUGGUACUGAGACACGGACCAGACUCCUACGGGAGGCAGCAGUGAGGAAUAUUGGACAAUGGGUGAGAGCCUGAUCCAGCCAUCCCGCGUGAAGGACGACGGCCCUAUGGGUUGUAAACUUCUUUUGUAUAGGGAUAAACCUACUCUCGUGAGAGUAGCUGAAGGUACUAUACGAAUAAGCACCGGCUAACUCCGUGCCAGCAGCCGCGGUAAUACGGAGGGUGCAAGCGUUAUCCGGAUUUAUUGGGUUUAAAGGGUCCGUAGGCUGAUUUGUAAGUCAGUGGUGAAAUCUCACAGCUCAACUGUGAAACUGCCAUUGAUACUGCAAGUCUUGAGUGUUGUUGAAGUAGCUGGAAUAAGUAGUGUAGCGGUGAAAUGCAUAGAUAUUACUUAGAACACCAAUUGCGAAGGCAGGUUACUAAGCAACAACUGACG